UUUGGGUUCGGCGGGGUCCGGAACUGGGGGAGCGGUGGAGAGGGGUUGGAUCUCAGGGGUCUGGACCGAACUGGGGGUUGAGCACUUCAACUUGGGGAGAUGAGGUAGGGGGAUGGGGGACUCGGAUUAAGAUUAACUCAAGAGAUUUGGGGUCGGUCGUCACAAGUUUGCCCAACUCUUUCUUGAUUGCUUCCCUUUUGUCUUCAGUGAAUUGACGUAGUCGUUGUCACUUGGGCGUAGCUUUGGGAUCUACAUUGAGUGAGUGCUCGAUCAACUCGCUGGGCACCCACGCAUAUCACAUGGCUUCCAUGCAAAGAUGUCUCGGUUGGCUUGGAGGAACCUGAUGAGUGCGUCUUCCUAUUUGGAGUCUAGCCCCAAACCA
rnacentral:lncRNA from 1 species